CACGAACAGAGAAACCAUCCAAAGAAUUGAAGAAUCUAUAAGUCAUUCGAUGAUUAAGUGUAGCCUGUGCAAGAUUGGGGACUUGUCGAAAAAUUCGUCCCUCUCGCUAACAGCUCAAGAUUUUGACAAUAUGGCUCAUGGACCUUGUGAACUAAUAAGGGUGAGUUUUUGACAAGUAUUUAAAAUCAAGAAAUGAUUUUUCACAAUGAAUUCACAUAUUUCCAUAUCCACAUUCCUCAAACACUCAAAAGAUUAAAAAAGAAGAGCCACUCACUCUUCGCCUGCAGAACUCUGGCAGGAAGCUCCAGCGAGGACUUAACCUCCAAAGUGGCAGCCGCAGCCGAUUCUCGAGAAAAGCAAGAAGGCCAGCCCUUCAAUACUCUUGGCCCCCACGUCUCUCCCAGUGCCGUCAACUGAACCAAGCAAGUACACAGCAAGACCAAUGUCAUUGCCCUUAUAAUCCAUAUCCUCAUUCUCCGGCGCGCCACCACCCCAUUACUCCUCAGCUUCUCCAAUCUAUCCACUCCAAACGCCGUCGUUUUCAACCCCAUUACUCCACCUUGUCCCUCAAUUCUUCACAUGUCAACGCCAUACACCCAAUUCAGCAACUUUUGCAUGAACUCGUUGAAAACUACGUCGUUUUGGUUUGGAUCAAGUACAGAGAAUGAGAUGAAAGACUAUUCAGAGGGCGAUCGAAAUCUCAAAUCAAAACGAGAAACAGCAAAUGCUUUAUGGAGAUCAAAAAGAAAUAUUCUUUUAUACACGCAAACUCAAAAUGGAGAUUUAAUUUUUCACGUACACAUUACCGACAGUAACAGACAAGAAAAAACCUCGAUUUUAAAGUAUCCCGGGGCAAAAAUUGAAGAUUUCGAGGUUUGAAACGAAGAAAUGAAAAUGGUUGGUUGGAGAUCCUGUGGGCAAUCCAGGAAGGUUGUGAAGGAGUCUCCAGCAGCCGUGGAUAGUAUCACGCAAAUGAGAUUGCGGUGGAGGGAAUUGUAAAGGCGACAGAGAUGAGAAGCCAGAGCCCGUUGGUGGGUGCAGUUCAUAUGGUUGAUUACGGGGUUUAAUCUCCUGUGACAAGCUCCAUCAUAACACCGACACCAUUCGUCUUCGUAUACAAAUCAAGUCUGUCGGUUUACCUCAAAUUAAAUUCUUUUCUUUUCUUUUUUCUCUUCAAUAUUUU
rnacentral:lncRNA from 1 species